GAUGAACGCUGGCGGCGUGCCUAAUACAUGCAAGUCGAGCGAACAGAUGAGGAGCUUGCUCUUCUGACGUUAGCGGCGGACGGGUGAGUAACACGUGGAUAACCUACCUAUAAGACUGGGAUAACUUCGGGAAACCGGAGCUAAUACCGGAUAAUAUAUUGAACCGCAUGGUUCAAUAGUGAAAGACGGUUUUGCUGUCACUUAUAGAUGGAUCCGCGUCGCAUUAGCUAGUUGGUAAGGUAACGGCUUACCAAGGCAACGAUGCGUAGCCGACCUGAGAGGGUGAUCGGCCACACUGGAACUGAGACACGGUCCAGACUCCUACGGGAGGCAGCAGUAGGGAAUAUUCCGCAAUGGGCGAAAGCCUGACGGAGCAACACCGCGUGAGUGAUGAAGGUCUUCGGAUCGUAAAGCUCUUUUAUUAGGAAAGAACAAAUGUGUAAGUAACUAUGCACGUCUUGACGGUACCUAAACAGAAAGCCACGGCUAACUACGUG
rnacentral:rRNA from 1 species